rnacentral:lncRNA from 1 species
CUUCUUCGGGACCAGCAGUACAGUAAGUCACAAAUGCUUCUUUGACAGUACAAACAUGUCGAGUUGCUCCGGAGUCAAGCCACUACUCCUUCGGAUUUCCAACAAGGUUGCAUUCCGAAAAUAUUGCACAAAGAUCAUCAAUGUCAUCAUUCUUCUCCACUAUGUUGGCUUGUACUUUCUUAUUAACCUUUUUCAGAAGACGACAAUCAGGGCUUUUGUGACCAAACAUUUCCACAAUUGUAGCAUAUAACCUUGGAUUUCUUUUUGUUCUGCUCCUUAGUUUGUCCAGAAGGCCUCUUCAUCUUCUUGCUUUUUGGAGCAGUCUCCUCAACGAUAUUAGCUCCCAUAAUUGUUGAAUUUAUGCGAGACUUCUUCUCGGCUGUUUUGUUGUCUCCCUCGAUAUUUAGACGUAUCACAAGAUCUUCCAAAUUCAUUUCUUUGCGUAUGUGCUUCAGAUAGUUCUUGAAAUCCCUCCACGAAUGAGGCAAUUUUUCAAUCAUAGCAGCUACUUGAAAUGCUUCAUUCAGGACCAUACCUUCAGCAAUAAGGUUGUAAAAAUAAGUUGAAGCUCCUGAACUUGGGUUCUCACGCUUUUGUUGUCUAUCAUUUUAUAGUCUAGAAACUUGGCAACCACGAACUUCUUCAAGCAUGCAUCUUCUGUCUUGUACUCCUUGUCAAGUGCGUCCCAUAAUUCUUUCAAAG